UACUAAUGUUUUCAAGAUAAAAAAGAAGGGUGACCAAUAUGGCUAAGAAUGGUGCAACACUUGUAAUUGCAACGCUAAUGAUUUUAGUAAUUAUUUGUUCUGGUGCGAUAGAUGAAUUUCAUGAAACUAUUCCUGAAGAGGAUUGGACUACAUCCUAUUAUAUUGCAAAUCACUCUCUAGAAAUUUGUGCCAAGAACUGCUUAAUACGCCACAAGAACAAAUUGAAAGAGCAGAAAGAAUGUGUUAAGAAAUGCAUUUUCCACAAAUGCAGUCAACUUUAUCCGACAAAUGAAAAAAAACAGGUCGAGUGCACUUUCAGCCUUAUUGCUCAGUACAACAAGAAAUACUUUCAUAGGUACCCGAUGACUUUUUAAAACAAUUAGCCAAGAGAGCAUAAGGCCUGCAAAAAGCAUGCAUAUAGUUAAAGAUUAUGAAGAUUUCUAAAUCCAAACACAAUCUUGACGCAUCCAAAUAUUUGAAACCCACCAAUCCCCGUCAUAAAAUAGUCCACCUUUAACUAUAUCUACAUCCAAAGUAAUUUUUUUCAUUUCUACCGUCAACAAAAAACCAAACCAAACCCAAAAACAACAACAAAAAUCAAAUAAAACUCCUUAAACAUUACAUUCAAAGCAGAACCUACAUCCUACGGAACAUUCUGGAACAACGCAUAACCCUAAUGAGGAAGCAAAUGAUGAGACGUUUUCGGCAAGAGAAUGCCUAGUGCUGCAAGGGAACCAAGGUGAGGCAGGACUUUUGGCGGGAAGCAAAUAGUUUGCACGAGGAAUUGUGCAACUUUACCAUUUUCCAUAUCUACUCUUCUUCCUUAAUGUUACAUUGUUAUGUGUUUUUUUAUUAUUAAUGUUAUGCUUGUUAUAGGCUAACAAAUUUGAUAGUUAAAAAUGGGUGUUUUCAUUUUAUGUUUUUAUUUUUGUCGAGGUCAAAUUUGAUAACUUUUGUUGUUAAAAGGAGUGUUUUCAUUUCUUUGGGACAUACUAGAGAUUUUCGUUAGAAUCAUUCCAAAAUCCAAAAGGCAGUAUAUUUGGAUUUGGAUGAUUUGAUUUAUUGACGUACUACUUUUUGAAUUGAUGAUGGUUUUUGUAA